AACGAACGCUGGCGGCGCGCCUAAUACAUGCAAGUCGAGCGAGAAGGUGUAGCAAUACACUUGUAAAGCGGCGAACGGGUGAGGAAUGCAUGGGUAACCUACCCUCGAGUGGGGAAUAACUAGCCGAAAGGUUAGCUAAUACCGCAUACGUUUCCGGAACUUCGGUUUCGGAAAGAAAGCAAUACCGUGGGUAUUGCGCUCCUGGAUGGGCUCAUGUCCUAUCAGCUUGUUGGUGAGGUAACGGCUCACCAAGGCUUCGACGGGUAGCUGGUCUGAGAGGACGAUCAGCCACACUGGCACUGCGACACGGGCCAGACUCCUACGGGAGGCAGCAGUAAGGAAUAUUGCGCAAUGGACGAAAGUCUGACGCAGCGACGCCGCGUGGGGGGAUGAAGGUCUUCGGAUUGUAAACCCCUUUCGGGAGGGAAGAUGGAGUGGGUAACCACUUGGACGGUACCUCCAGAAGCAGCCACGGCUAACUUCGUGCCAGCAGCCGCGGUAA
rnacentral:rRNA from 1 species